GCAUUAGUGGUUCAGUGGUAGGAUUCUCACCUUCCAUGCAGCAGACCUGGGUUCCAUUCCCAGACAAUGCA
rnacentral:tRNA from 1 species